AGUGAACGCUGGCGGUAGGCCUAACACAUGCAAGUCGAACGGCAGCACAGUAAGAGCUUGCUCUUACGGGUGGCGAGUGGCGGACGGUUGAGGAAUACAUCGGAUUCUACUUUUUCGUGGGGGAUAACGUAGGGAAACUUAUGCUAAUACCGCAUACGUCCUACGGGUGAAAGCACGGGAUCUUUGGACUUUGUGGGAUUGUAUGAGCCGAUGUCGGAUUAGCUAGUUGGCGGGGUAAAGGCCCACCAAGGCGACGAUCCGUAGCUGGUCUGACAGGAUGAUCCGACACACUGGCACAGAGACACGGCCCAGACUCCGACGGGAGGCAGCAGUGGGGAAUAUUAGACAAUGGGGGCAAGCCUGAUCCAGCCAUACCGCGUGAGUGAAGAAGGCCUUCGGGUUGUAAAGCCCUUUUGUUGGGAAAGAAAAACAGCAGGUUAAUACCCCGCUGUUCUGACGGUACCCAAAGAAUAAGCACCGGCUAACUUCGUG
rnacentral:rRNA from 1 species